rnacentral:lncRNA from 1 species
UUAUAACAAGGUACGUGGCUUUUCUAUGUCCAGGGACUACCAACAGUAGAUUUGUUAGGUACUUCUCAAGCAGGUAUGUCAACAGUGGCAAGUAGGUAUGUAUGAGAUCGAUCCACCUUGACCCAUCUUUUCGAAUGCUAAUUGAUACAUAUUGACCUCUUCUUCUUCUUCCUCUCGAGUCCUUGACAAGCAGAUAUUAUUGCAUUUUCAAGAACACUACUGGAGGGGAGGGAGGGAGCUAGGUCUUCAACAUAUGGCUGAUUCUAUAAUAUUUGUACUUGCCAAACUGUUCUGGUUGUGAUCAUCUAUUCUCUACUUUAUGCAAUUGCAAUCAAUGAUUUUGAUAUUUCUAUACUCUAUGGAAACUACACAGAAAGAUUUCCAGAUAUCAUCAUCAUCAUCAUCAUCAUGUUUUAAAAGGAUUGGAUUGUGACAUGGAUGGUGCUAUCCAUUGGUAAACUUGGCAAGAAAAUAUUGUUUUUUUUUAUCAAAAACGAUAGACAGCACUAACCCAGUAGCCCAAAUUUGAUAGAAUAUAUUGAAAUGUCCUACAAAUUAUUUAAAUCUUGAUAGCUAGGUAUACCG